CCAGACUUUGAUUAUGGCUCAGGAUGAACGCUAGCUACAGGCUUAACACAUGCAAGUCGAGGGGAAACGAUAGAGAAAGCUUGCUUUUUCUAGGCGUCGACCGGCGCACGGGUGAGUAACGCGUAUCCAACCUGCCCAUCACUUGGGGAUAACCUUGCGAAAGUAAGACUAAUACCCAAUGACGUCCAUAGAAGACAUCUGAAAUGGAUUAAAGAUUUAUCGGUGAUGGAUGGGGAUGCGUCUGAUUAGCUUGUUGGCGGGGUAACGGCCCACCAAGGCGACGAUCAGUAGGGGUUCUGAGAGGAAGGUCCCCCACAUUGGAACUGAGACACGGUCCAAACUCCUACGGGAGGCAGCAGUGAGGAAUAUUGGUCAAUGGACGAGAGUCUGAACCAGCCAAGUAGCGUGCAGGAUGACGGCCCUAUGGGUUGUAAACUGCUUUUAUAAGGGAAUAAAGUGAGUCUCGUGAGACUUUUUGCAUGUACCUUAUGAAUAAGGACCGGCUAAUUCCGUGCCAGCAGCCGCGGUAAUACGGAAGGUCCGGGCGUUAUCCGG
rnacentral:rRNA from 1 species